AGUGAACGCUGGCGGUAGGCCUAACACAUGCAAGUCGAACGGCAGCACAGUAAGAGCUUGCUCUUACGGGUGGCGAGUGGCGGACGGGUGAGGAAUACAUCGGAAUCUACUUUUUCGUGGGGGAUAGCGUAGGGAAACUUACGCUAAUACCGCAUACGACCUACGGGUGAAAGCAGGGGAUCUUCGGACCUUGCGCGAUUGAAUGAGCCGAUGUCGGAUUAGCUAGUUGGCGGGGUAAAGGCCCACCAAGGCAACGAUCCGUAGCUGGUCUGAGAGGAUGAUCAGCCACACUGGAACUGAGACACGGUCCAGACUCCUACGGGAGGCAGCAGUGGGGAAUAUUGGACAAUGGGCGAAAGCCUGAUCCAGCCAUACCGCGUGGGUGAAGAAGGCCUUCGGGUUGUAAAGCCCUUUUGUUGGGAAAGAAAAGCAGCAGGUUAAUACCCCGCUGUUCUGACGGUACCCAAAGAAUAAGCACCGGCUAACUUCGUG
rnacentral:rRNA from 1 species